ACGUGUUCGGUUAGAAAGGACCGUCCAGGUGGUCCAGAGUUAGAAGAAAAUAUGUCAUCAUGUGGAGAAGGCAGUCACGGCUUGGCGUGAAUUAGAGACUAUAAUGACUACAACUAAAACUGGCACAAGGCACUUAAUAUGAACCCAAGAGAAAAUAAAGACUAAAUGCUAUUUUCGGCUUUGUUGAACAAAUUUGAAUGCUUCUGGAAAGUCCCCCUAACUGGUGUGACCUUUCGUCUGAUGUCAGCAGGGAUCGUGAAGAGGAUAAAGCGUGACGUAAACCAGGAAUAGAAAAGUUGUAGAAAAAAAGUCACACCCUGGUGGUGGUAAGCCACUUGUGUAGCCACAGCUGCCCUGGGCCAGUCUGAUGGAAGCGUGGCAAACACAACAACGACAUACACUCGGGCGGAGAUAUGAAUCGGCGACCCGGUUCAGACCGCAACAGACAGUGACGACUGCUGGGAAAAGUAUCCCGCUCCCCACUCUUGAGAACUUCCACAGUCCCUCCACAUCCUGGUCACCACCUUUUCCAGCUACUUCCCUCAGCAUCAGAAGCAGCAUGGACAUUACCUUCCAGAACCUCUGACGCAGCAGUACCACACCACAGAAGGACGAGAUGCACAACUAGAGGCCACCUGAGGAGAAUCGUAGCUCGCUCUCGCCCUCUCUGCAGUACAAAAGCUCUCUCAGUUCUGAGCCGAGUCUUCAGGCCCACAGAGCUGGGAAAUGUGAUUCCCUUGGUAAAUAUGCCAAGCGAUUGACAGGGGUGAUGCAAACCACUGCUGGUUACUCAUUGAAUGAGCAGAAUCGUCAUCGCUGUCUCAGUAUGCACGGCUUUUACUUACGCUUCAAAUAAACACGCUCAUGUCAGCAAACCUGGUUUCUCUCUUGAUGUUGCAGCAUUUCUAUUUUGUUGCAGUGGUCCAUUUUCUUAUUGCCACCAGUCUCCUCUCAUAUAAGUAUCUCAAAUGUGUCUUCAUACCUUCUUCUUCACUGUGGUUGUUAAUUAGCAUGUCUCGGUUUAACUGAUUAUUUCCUUGCAGCUUGGUUUUCCCAGAUUCCUCCGGUGCUAUUUUGAAGUGGAAACAUGACCGUCCAAAGCCAAGUCAAGAGGAACUGAGUAGACCUGAGCUGAGCCGAGAUAAUACUUUGGAGUCAAAAUGCGGCAGUCGUUCAUUUAUAUCAUAGUUGAUAAUUCCACCGCACUUUUACUGUCAUGUAUUUUUUUCCCCCCAUCUUCUGUGCAUGCUGACCCAGCAAACCAAUGUGUGGCACUAACGAGAAGCCAUUCAUAGACAGCCAACUUUCCCUGGACAGACAUGGAGGAUUUGGGGGAAUAAUUGAUUUUGGGAAACAGUGAUUGCACGGGCCUGUUAGGUAAGAAAUGACAAUGAUUAUCAGUGACUUAUCCAAGAAUGUUAGAAAGUUAGAACUAUCAAGAAGCUCAUCAUUUAUUCAAUACAAAACACUGGGCAUCGAAGAAACAGGAAGGGGAAUCAACGUUGAAAAAAAGCAUCUUGUUGCCCUUACAAUAUCCAACCA